UUGCAUGAUGUGAACCAUGGCUGACAGAAGCGAGGGGGAAUCAAAGAGUGAGCAACUUUUGACAACACACGCUUCACAGCUCUGACCACUGAGGAUCUACAUGAUUAUCUCCAGACAAAAUAACUGCUACAGCAGAGACACACGUUGUAAGCAGCCAGCCCAAGGUUAGCAAGCACUGAGUGAGCACAGCCCCUCACAACCAGAGACCUUCACCUUGAUGCCUCCCAGAGGGAAAAUUGGAAUGGGAUGUAGAUAGCAAUCAGUGCCAAGAGGUUUUUGUCAGCAAGGAAAUGCAGACCACCGCGUCCUUUCUUCCUUUACAUCUGACUUCACAUCCCCCACCAACAUCCCCUCUUUUGAAACUUUUCCACGUGAAAAUGUUUAGUACCUGUGUGGGAGCUCCACGCCAGUGGGAGAAAUU